UCUCUUGCACAUGCAAACACAGGAGCACACAGAGGAGACACGUACACGCACACACACAGAAACGCCAUAGAACAUGUCGGACUCAGAGACUGCCGCCCCAGCUGAGACCCCCGUCCCUGCCGCCUGCGAAGCCAUCAAGGCAGACCUGGACAAAUGUGUAAAGGAGAAUGGGGAGGGUGCGUGUAAAGAGCUGAUGGAGGCGUUUGCUGCUUGUGUGAAGAGCGCUGCAGAGGGGUCAUGAAGAAGGAGCUCUUCUCAAAGGAAAUGUCUACUGCACUGAGUCCUCCACCUUCCCAGCAUUCCCUUCAGUACAUGGCACUGGACUGUCUGAUUCAGAUUCUGAUGGGGGUUUGGUGGUGCAAACCAUAUGUUCCCCUUUGCCCUCCCCGAACCAGCUCCUCUGUAAAGCCUGAUGGAUUCCUCCGACCACGCCCCCCCCCCCCGCCCCCCUCCCCAGGCGGCUGAUCGCAUUGCUCUGUAGACAGUUCUGGAAAGGGUUUUACGUCAUUUUGUCCGCUUGAAAUGCUUACAUGGAAAAUGAAAUAAAAUUUAAAGAGUUGGUACUACCUGA